rnacentral:rRNA from 1 species
GGGCGAAAGCCUGACGCAGCCAUGCCGCGUGGAUGAUGAAGGUCUUAGGAUUGUAAAAUCCUUUCACCGGGGACGAUAAUGACGGUACCCGGAGAAGAAGCCCCGGCUAACUUCGUGCCAGCAGCCGCGGUAAUACGAAGGGGGCUAGCGUUGCUCGGAAUUACUGGGCGUAAAGGGAGCGUAGGCGGGUCGUUAAGUUGGGGGUGAAAGCCCGGGGCUCAACCUCGGAAAUGCCUUCAAUACUGGCGACCUUGAGUGUGGGAGAGGUGAGUGGAACUCCGAGUGUAGAGGUGAAAUUCGUAGAUAUUCGGAAGAACACCAGUGGCGAAGGCGACUCACUGGCCCAUUACUGACGCUGAGGCUCGAAAGCGUGGGGAGCAAACAGGAUUAGAUACCCUGGUAGUCCACGCCGUAAACGAUGAGUGCUAGUUGUCGGCAUGCAUGCAUGUCGGUGACG